rnacentral:rRNA from 1 species
GACGAACGCUGGCGGCGUGCUUAACACAUGCAAGUCGAGCGGUAAGGCCCCUUCGGGGGUACACGAGCGGCGAACGGGUGAGUAACACGUGAGCAAUCUGCCCAUCACAUCGGGAUAACUCCGGGAAACCGAAGCUAAUACCGAAUACGACCACCUCCGGCAUCGGAUGGUGGUGGAAAGUUCCGGCGGUGAUGGAUGAGCUCGCGGCCUAUCAGCUUGUUGGUGGGGUAACGGCCCACCAAGGCUUCGACGGGUAGCCGGCCUGAGAGGGUGACCGGCCGCACUGGGACUGAGACACGGCCCAGACUCCUACGGGAGGCAGCAGUGGGGAAUAUUGGACAAUGGGCGAAAGCCUGAUCCAGCAACGCCGCGUGAGGGAUGACGGCCUUCGGGUUGUAAACCUCUUUCAGCAGGGACGAAGCGCAAGUGACGGUACCUGCAGAAGAAGCACCGGCCAACUACGUG